rnacentral:rRNA from 1 species
ACGAGCGCACCCCUUUCCUUAGUUGCCAGCAUUCUGUUGGGCACUCUGAGGAGACUGCCGGUGACAAACCGGAGGAAGGUGGGGACGACGAUCAAGUCAUCAUGGCCCUUACGUGUAGGGCUACACACGUGCUACAAUGGGAUUUACAGAGGGAAGCGAGACAGUGAUGUGGAGCGGACCCCUUAAAGAAUGUCGUACUCCGGAUUGGAGUCUGCAACUCGACUCCAUGAAGUCGGAAUCGCUAGUAAUCGCAAGUCAGAAUAUUGCGGUGAAUACGUUCCCGGGCCUUGUACACACCGCCCGUCACACCAUGGGAGUGGGAUGCAAAAGAAGUAGUUAGUUUAACCUUCGGGAGAACGAUUACCACUUUGUGUUUCAUGACUGGGGUGAAGUCGUAACAAGGUAACCCUAGGGGAACCUGGGGUUGGAUCACCUCCUU